GGUUUUUGAACCACAAAAUCGAAGUACUCCCAAACACAAGCUGGACGAUGAAAGAGAUGCACCAGGACAAUCAACAAUUCAGCCAGGACAGAUAGUAAUAUCUGAUGCUGAGGAUCUGGAUCCACCGGCAGCAAAUCCAGAAAAAAUGUCUUGCUACAGUAAAUACACAGACCUGUAUUCACCAAAUGUUGAGCAGGAGGACGAAGAGCCGGUUGCUGUCAAUGUGAAGAAUUUCCAACACACAGCAAUGGAGGAGACGGACAUUCCAUUACCUGACAUCGUAGCAAACCUGUCUCUUCCUAUUGAUCAUAAAAAGUCAGCCGGUUUAACAUCUCAAGGGCUAAUGUUUGGGAUGGGGCAGUCAGAGGUUUCAAGCGUACAACAUAUUCUGAAACCUGUGACAUGCUGGUGAAAUUUAAUGAUGAUACUGGUGUUCUGGAAGAGGGAAUUGACACUGGUGGUCCAAGACGAGAGUUUUUAACUCUACUGAUGAAACACCUAAAAGACCGGCCCAUUUUUGAUGGACCAGAAGGACAUCGGUUCUUGGUCUACAAUGCAAAGGAUUGAGAAUGCUGCUUCAUUGGAUGCUCUGCAAGAAUGUAUGAUGAGACACAGCACAAUGUUACAGACAGCAGGUUGUCUGAGACAUGUGGCUACUGUGGAAGAAAAGAAAGAAAUCGUGUCAGACUACCUCCAAUGGUAUAUCAUUGACCGCAACUCAUCUGUAAUUGACAGAUUCAGAGAUGGUCUUUCAACCCUGGAGUUUUUGACUGCACUACAGCAACACCCUACUUUGCUGGCCCCUGUCAUGUGCCACUCUGAAAGGCGACUCACUACUUUUGAACUUGAGACUCUUCAAACCUGACCUCAGUCCUUCGGGGAGUAAUCAAAGACUUAAAGAAAGUCAAACCAUGGCCUACUGGGCAGACUAUCUCCUUGAUUGUGAAGAAGGCCAGGCUGCUGUGUCUGUGGAAGAUGUUUUGAUGUUUGCUACUGGGCUGUCUUCACUUCCCCCAUCUGGCUUGGAACCACUGCCACAAAUAGAGUUCCUGGAGGACUCUGCGUUCCCAAGACUCUGAAAAAGUUGUUGUUGUUAAAGGUUAGGGUUGGGCAUCAUUUAGAUUUUAACAAUUCUGAUUCCAAUUCCGAUUCUUCCUUUUGAUUCCAGUUGUUAUCGAUUCUCGAUUCCGAUUCUUUGAGUGGUGGAGUUGAAACGGGUCACAUGCUUAUUUCACAAAUAAGAGGAAAGUUUUAUUUUGAUUCAAAGGUGGGUUGCAGUUUGACGGGGCUUUUUCAAUGUAAAAUAAAGCCACACUAGAGCACCGCUUACUGUGCUCCAUGGCUGCAACACAACAAGCACCUGGCCGCUACAGAAACCAAAACUUGCGCAUGUUAAAUUUGGAACCCAUGAUCAGAUUUGAAACCCAAUCCUCCAAAACGAUUCCAAUAAAGAAACAAUUCCGAUGGAAUCGUAUUUUUUUAAACUAUUCCAAGUAGGAAUUGGUUCUUGAUGCCCAACCCUAUUAAAGGUGCACUUUUAAAGUGCAGUUGCUAAAGUUGUUUUUAUAAUGUUACUGUAUGUGAGCAUGUUCUUUUCUCACAGUAAACAUUUUGAAAAUGUUUUAGAUCCAUUACUCUCAAUACUACAAAAGUGUAAUAAAUACUGAUUACUA